CGGGGUGUGGCGCAGUGGUCGACGCGCCUCCACCGCGUGUGGGAAGACGCCGGUUCGAAUCCGGUCACCCCGCCCA
rnacentral:tRNA from 1 species